AGACGGAGGGGGCGAGCGUUGUUCGGAAUUACUGGGCGUAAAGGGCGCGUAGGCGGCCGGCCAAGUCAGGGGUGAAAGGCCUGGGCUCAACCCGGGAACUGCCUUCGAUACUGAUAUGCUAGAGUCCGGGAGAGGGUAGCGGAAUUCCCAGUGUAGAGGUGAAAUUCGUAGAUAUUGGGAAGAACACCGGUGGCGAAGGCGGCUACCUGGUCCGGCACUGACGCUGAGGCGCGAAAGCGUGGGGAGCGAACAGGAUUAGAAACCCCAGUAGUCC
rnacentral:rRNA from 1 species